rnacentral:rRNA from 1 species
CUAACAUGCAAGUUCGUGCGAGAAAGGGCUUCGGCCCCGGUAAAGCGGCGCACGGGUGAGUAACACGUAGGCAAUCUGCCUCCGAGUGGUGGAUAACCUUCCGAAAGGAGGGCUAAUACAGCAUAAGACCACGGGUUCGUAGAACCUGAGGUCAAAGCGGACCUCUUCAUGAAAGUUCGCGCUUGGAGAUGAGCCUGCGGCCCAUCAGCUAGUUGGUAAGGUAAUGGCUUAUCAAGGCUAAGACGGGUAGCUGGUCUGAGAGGACGAACAGCCACACUGGAACUGAGACACGGUCCAGACUCCUACGGGAGGCAGCAGUGGGGAAUCUUGCGCAAUGGGCGAAAGCCUGACGCAGCGACGCCGCGUGAGCGAUGAAGGCCUUCGGGUUGUAAAGCUCUGUGGGGAGAGACGAAUAAGGUGCAGCUAAUACCUGCAUCGAUGACGGUAUCUCCUUAGCAAGCACCGGCUAACUCUGUGCCAGCAGCCGCGGUAAGACAGAGGGUGCGAACGUUGUUCGGAAUUACUGGGCGUAAAGCGCGUGUAGGCGGCAGCGUGUGUCGGGCGUGAAAUCCCAUGGCUUAACCAUGGAAGUGCACCCGAAACUGCGCAGCUAGAGUCCUGGAGAGGAAGAUGGAAUACUUGGUGUAGAGGUGAAAUUCGUAGAUAUCAAGUGGAACACCGGUGGCGAAGGCGGUCUUCUGGACAGUGACUGACGCUGAGACGCGAAAGCGUGGGGAGCAAACAGGGAUUAGAUACCCUGGUAGUCCACGCCGUAAACGAUGAGUGCUAGGUGUCACGGGCUUUGACCCUCGUGGUGCCGAAGCUAACGCGUUAAGCACUCCGCCUGGGGAAGUACGGCCCGCAAGGCUAAAACUCAAAGGGAAUUUGACGGGGGCCC